AACUCCCUUCGGCUGCCGAACCUGGUUUCUGCCAAAGGGCAGAAACUUGGCUCCCUUAAGCAUUUUGCCUAUAAACUCACCAAUCAUGCAUAAACUUGUUCUAAAACAUGCAUAAACACCAUACAUCAGACCUAGGGGUCUCAAACUAUCAAAUACCCCAACUACAACACUUCAAGCAUGCUCAAACAACAUACAUUGUUCAUCAAAACAUAAAAACCCAUAAACUCAUCAACAAGCCUAAACAUGCAUCUCUACCCAUAAAACAACUUAAAACUUACUUAAAACACAUGAGGAGCUUAAGAUCGGCUCUUACCUCUUGAAGAUCGAGAGGGAGACGACCUAAACUUGGAGAUCCACGAAAAUGAGCUCCUGAGUUCCCAAAGCUCCAAAACUUGGUUUAAAUGCUCAAAACUUGCAAUGUGAGUUCAAGACUCAAGGAAAAUGGAAGAGAUUUGGAGGAAGAACACAAGAUUUGCAAAGGGAAGGUCGGAAGCUUGCUGUGGCCGAAAAUGGGAGAAAGCUCGCCCAUUUCGGCUAAGUGCCCCUUUUAUAGGUGGCUGGCCAGGCCACGUUCGGGGGCCGAAUGUGC
rnacentral:lncRNA from 1 species